rnacentral:rRNA from 1 species
GGGUUAAAGUGUGUGCAGACGGUUAUUAAGUUGCUUGUUUAAUUCUUCGGCCUAACCGAAGGCUCGCAAGCAAACUAGGUAGACUUGAGGAUGGAAGAGAGAAGUGGAAUUCUCGGAGUAGCGGUAAAUAGCGUAGAUCUCGAGAGGAACACCAAUGGCGAAGGCAGCUUCUUGGUCCAUUCCUGACGUUCAUACACGAAAGCGUGGGGAGCAAACAGGAUUAGAUACCCCUGGUAGUCCACGCCGUAAACGAUGAUCACUAGACGUCAGUUUCGUUUAACGAAAUUGGUGUCGUAGCUAACGCGUUAAGUGAUCCGCCUGGGGACUACGGUCGCAAGACUAAACU